rnacentral:rRNA from 1 species
AAGCGGUGGAUGAUGUGGUUUAAUUCGAUGCAACGCGAAAACCUUACCCACCUUUGACAUGUACGGAAUCCUUUAGAGAUAGAGGAGUGCUCGAAAGAGAGCCGUAACACAGGUGCUGCAUGGCUGUCGUCAGCUCGUGUCGUGAGAUGUUGGGUUAAGUCCCGCAACGAGCCGCAACCCCUAUUGUUAGUUGCCAUCAUUCAGUUGGGCACUCUAGCGAGACUGCCGGUAAUAAACCGGAGGAAGGUGGGGAUGACGUCAAAUCAUCAUGCCCCUUAUGACCUGGGCUACACACGUGCUACAAUGGUUGGUACAACGAGUUGCGAGUCGGUGACGGCGAGCUAAUCUCUUAAAGCCAAUCUCAGUUCGGAUUGUAGGCUGCAACUCGCCUACAUGAAGUCGGAAUCGCUAGUAAUCGCGGAUCAGCACGCCGCGGUGAAUACGUUCCCGGGCCUU